rnacentral:rRNA from 1 species
UACGACUACAUAUCAGGCAUAUCAAUAAGCGGAGGAAAAGAAACUAACAAGGAUUCCCUUAGUAACGGCGAGUGAAGCGGGAAGAGCUCAAAUUUGAAAUCUUCAAGGUUCUACCUUGACGAAUUGUAGUUUAAAGAAGUGUUUUCUGUUGAAGUUUUGGUAAAAGUUCUUUGGAAUAGGACAUCAUAGAGGGUGAGAAUCCCGUAUUUGACCAUUAUUUUCCAGCUGUGUGAUACACUUUCAAAGAGUCGGGAUUGUUUGGGAAUGCAGUCCAAAAUGGGUGGUAAAUUUCAUCUAAAGCUAAAUAUUGGCGAGAGACCGAUAGCGAACAAGUACCGUGAGGGAAAGAUGAAAAGAACUUUGAAAAGAGAGUUAAACAGUACGUGAAAUUGUCAAAAGGGAAGCGUUUGACACCAGUGUUGUUUUCUCGAAAAUCAAUUAAAAAGAGUUGGAUUUUGUGUUGUAUUGACCUUAACAGCUUGCUUCACUCUUUUCCAGCUUUUUUUAAUGCACUUUUCGUUUAACAAGUCAACAUCAGUUUCUUUUGUUGUAAAAGGGUCAUUGGAAGGUGGCUUUCUCUUCGGAGAAAGUGUUUAUAGCCUUUGAUCUCUGCAAUCGGAGAGACUGAGGUCUGCAGCGUAGAUCCUUCGGGGUUAGAUACAUUUGUGCUAAGCUACAGCUUUUCAUAGACAACUUGUUGACUAUGUUUAGUCUUGUGACUUACCCGCUUAUGCUAUUUUACCUACGCUUAGGAUGUUGAGCGCAUGUCUCUCUCU